GCAUGUUAUAAGGAUUAAAGUUUCGACGGCUACGGAUGGGCAUAUGUCCCAUUAGCUUGUUGGGGAGGUAACGGCUCACCAAGGCUACGAUGGGUAGGGGGCCUGAGAGGGUGAUCCCCCACACUGGUACUGAGACACGGACCAGAGUCCUACGGGAGGCAGCAGUGAGGAAUAUUGGUCAAUGGGCGAAAGCCUGAACCAGCCAUGCCGCGUGCAGGAUGACUGUCCUAUGGAUUGUAAACUGCUUUUCUGCAGGAAGAAACGCUUCUACGUGUAGAGGUUUGACGGUACUGCAGGAAUAAGCAUCGGCUAACUCCGUGCCAGCAGCCGCGGUAAUACGGAGGAUGCAAGCGUUAUCCGGAUUCAUUGGGUUUAAAGGGUGCGUAGGCGGAUUGGUAAGUCAAAGGUGAAAGUCUGUAGCUUAACUAUAGAAGUGCCUUUGAUACUGCUAGUCUUGAGUACAGUUGAGGCGAGUGGAAUGUGUAGUGUAGCGGUGAAAUGCAUAGAUACUACACAGAACACCAAUUGUGAAGACAGCUCGCUAAGCUGCUACUGACGCUCAGGCACGAAAGCGUGGGGAGCGAACAGGAUUAGAUACCCUGGUAGUCCACGCUGUAAACUAUGAUCACUAGCUGUUGGCGAUCAAUUGUUAGUGGCUGAGCGAAAGCGUUAAGGUGAUCCACCUGGGGAGUACGAUCGCAAGGUUGACACUCAAAGGAAUUGACGGGGGCCCGCACAAGCGGUGGAACAUGUGGUUUAAUUCGAUGAUACGCGAGGAACCUUACCUGGGCUUAAAUGUAGAACGACGUCCUGAGAAAUCGGGAUUCCCUUCGGGGCGGACUACAAGGUGCUGCAUGGUUGUCGUCAGCUCGUGCCGUGAGGUAUCGGGUUAAGUCCCAUAACGAGCGCAACCCCUAUUGUUAGUUGCCAGCGGAUAAUGCCGGGGACUCUAACAAAACUGCCCGUGUACACGGGAGGAAGGUGGGGAUGACGUCAAAUCAGCACGGCCCUUACGUCCAGGGCUACACACGUGUUACAAUGGCUGGAACAAAGGGCAGCUACCACGCGAGUGGAUGCUAAUCUCUAAAUCCAGUCUCAGUUCGGAUCGGAGUCUGCAAUUCGACUUCGUGAAGAUGGA
rnacentral:rRNA from 1 species